GGCUGGUUGCCGCAGCGGCCGACCGGACCCGGCCGUAAACCGGGCGCCCCACAGCCACGCAGGUUCGAAUCCUGCACCAGCCA
rnacentral:tRNA from 1 species